rnacentral:rRNA from 1 species
UAGAGAAUACCAAGGCGCUUGAGAGAACUCGGGUGAAGGAACUAGGCAAAAUGGUGCCGUAACUUCGGGAGAAGGCACGCUGACACGUAGGUGAAGUGAUUUACUCAUGGAGCUGAAGUCAGUCGAAGAUACCAGCUGGCUGCAACUGUUUAUUAAAAACACAGCACUGUGCAAACACGAAAGUGGACGUAUACGGUGUGACGCCUGCCCGGUGCCGGAAGGUUAAUUGAUGGGGUCAGCGCAAGCGAAGCUCCUGAUCGAAGCCCCGGUAAACGGCGGCCGUAACUAUAACGGUCCUAAGGUAGCGAAAUUCCUUGUCGGGUAAGUUCCGACCUGCACGAAUGGCGUAAUGAUGGCCAGGCUGUCUCCACCCGAGACUCAGUGAAAUUGAACUCGCUGUGAAGAUGCAGUGUACCCGCGGCAAGACGGAAAGACCCCGUGAACCUUUACUAUAGCUUGACACUGAACAUUGAGCCUUGAUGUGUAGGAUAGGUGGGAGGCUUUGAAGUGUGGACGCCAGUCUGCAUGGAGCCGACCUUGAAAUACCACCCUUUAAUGUUUGAUGUUCUAACGUGGACCCGUAAUCCGGGUUGCGGACAGUGUCUGGUGGGUAGUUUGACUGGGGCGGUCUCCUNGGGGGCCAUCCCGGCUUACCAACCCGAUGCAAACUGCGAAUACCGGAGAAUGUUAUCACGGGAGACACACGGCGGGUGCUAACGUCCGUCGUGAAGAGGGAAACAACCCAGACCGCCAGCUAAGGUCCCAAAGUCAUGGUUAAGUGGGAAACGAUGUGGGAAGGCCCAGACAGCCAGGAUGUUGGCUUAGAAGCAGCCAUCAUUUAAAGAAAGCGUAAUAGCUCACUGGUCGAGUCGGCCUGCGCGGAAGAUGUAACGGGGCUAAACCAUGCACCGAAGCUGCGGCAGCGAACGUAUCACCCAAGACAACUUUACGGAGUUGACGAUUGACGGAGCGAAGCGACGUCAAAGCGUUCAUUAAAGUCGAGUUGGCUUAGGGAUACGUUCGUUGGGUAGGGGAGCGUUCUGUAAGCCUGUGAAGGUGUGUCGUGAGGCAUGCUGGAGGUAUCAGAAGUGCGAAUGCUGACAUAAGUAACGAUAAAGCGGGUGAAAAGCCCGCUCGCCGGAAGACCAAGGGUUCCUGUCCAACGUUAAUCGGGGCAGGGUGAGUCGACCCCUAAGGCGAGGCCGAAAGGCGUAGUCGAUGGGAAACGGGUUAAUAUUCCCGUACUUGGUGUUACUGCGAAGGGGGGACGGAGAAGGCUAUGUUGGCCGGGCGACGGUUGUCCCGGUUUAAGCGUGUAGGUGUGUGUUCCAGGUAAAUCCGGUUCACUUUAACACUGAGGCGUGAUGACGAGGCACUACGGUGCUGAAGCAACAAAUGCCCUGCUUCCAGGAAAAGCCUCUAAGCAUCAGGUAACAUCAAAUCGUACCCCAAACCGACACAGGUGGUCAGGUAGAGAAUACCAAGGCGCUUGAGAGAACUCGGGUGAAGGAACUAGGCAAAAUGGUGCCGUAACUUCGGGAGAAGGCACGCUGACACGUAGGUGAAGUGAUUUACUCAUGGAGCUGAAGUCAGUCGAAGAUACCAGCUGGCUGCAACUGUUUAUUAAAAACACAGCACUGUGCAAACACGAAAGUGGACGUAUACGGUGUGACGCCUGCCCGGUGCCGGAAGGUUAAUUGAUGGGGUCAGCGCAAGCGAAGCUCCUGAUCGAAGCCCCGGUAAACGGCGGCCGUAACUAUAACGGUCCUAAGGUAGCGAAAUUCCUUGUCGGGUAAGUUCCGACCUGCACGAAUGGCGUAAUGAUGGCCAGGCUGUCUCCACCCGAGACUCAGUGAAAUUGAACUCGCUGUGAAGAUGCAGUGUACCCGCGGCAAGACGGAAAGACCCCGUGAACCUUUACUAUAGCUUGACACUGAACAUUGAGCCUUGAUGUGUAGGAUAGGUGGGAGGCUUUGAAGUGUGGACGCCAGUCUGCAUGGAGCCGACCUUGAAAUACCACCCUUUAAUGUUUGAUGUUCUAACGUGGACCCGUAAUCCGGGUUGCGGACAGUGUCUGGUGGGUAGUUUGACUGGGGCGGUCUCCUCCUAAAGAGUAACGGAGGAGCACGAAGGUUGGCUAAUCCUGGUCGGACAUCAGGAGGUUAGUGCAAUGGCAUAAGCCAGCUUGACUGCGAGCGUGACGGCGCGAGCAGGUGCGAAAGCAGGUCAUAGUGAUCCGGUGGUUCUGAAUGGAAGGGCCAUCGCUCAACGGAUAAAAGGUACUCCGGGGAUAACAGGCUGAUACCGCCCAAGAGUUCAUAUCGACGGCGGUGUUUGGCACCUCGAUGUCGGCUCAUCACAUCCUGGGGCUGAAGUAGGUCCCAAGGGUAUGGCUGUUCGCCAUUUAAAGUGGUACGCGAGCUGGGUUUAGAACGUCGUGAGACAGUUCGGUCCCUAUCUGCCGUGGGCGCUGGAGAACUGAGGGGGGCUGCUCCUAGUACGAGAGGACCGGAGUGGACGCAUCACUGGUGUUCGGGUUGUCAUGCCAAUGGCACUGCCCGGUAGCUAAAUGCGGAAGAGAUAAGUGCUGAAAGCAUCUAAGCACGAAACUUGCCCCGAGAUGAGUUCUCCCUGAGACUUAGAGUCUCCUGAAGGAACGUUGAAGACGACGACGUUGAUAGGCCGGGUGUGUAAGCGCAGCGAUGCGUUGAGCUAACCGGUACUAAUGAACCGUGAGGCUUAACCUU